AUUGAACGCUGGCGGCAUGCCUUACACAUGCAAGUCGAACGGUAACGCGGGGGCAACCCUGGCGACGAGUGGCGAACGGGUGAGUAAUACAUCGGAACGUACCCAGUAGUGGGGGAUAGCUCGGCGAAAGCCGGAUUAAUACCGCAUACGACCUAUGGGUGAAAGCGGGGGAUCGCAAGACCUCGCGCUAUUGGAGCGGCCGAUGUCGGAUUAGCUAGUUGGUGAGGUAAAGGCNCACCAAGGCUACGAUCCGUAGCUGGUCUGAGAGGACGACCAGCCACACUGGGACUGAGACACGGCCCAGACUCCUACGGGAGGCAGCAGUGGGGAAUUUUGGACAAUGGGCGAAAGCCUGAUCCAGCCAUGCCGCGUGUGUGAAGAAGGCCUGG
rnacentral:rRNA from 1 species